CUCCUGAAAGCGCACGCACACGCGGACAUCUCCUUCUUCUCUCUCUCAACACGCACGAACUCCUCCUGACCAGCGUUGGCCGCUGCCGAUCUGGACUCUCCGGCUCCCGUGGUCCCCCCCCCAUCUCGCGCUGCUAAGGGAAGGAAGGGCAUGGCCCUGCGAGCGGCCACGACGAGGCUCGCGUCCUCCAUCCGCCGCCACAGCCACCUCCCAAUGUCCGAGUUGCUGCUCCCGUGUCAUGAUUGGAGACCGUGUCCUUUUCCAACUGCAAUCAAUGGAUUUCCCUACCCGGAUUUGAGUCGCCUGGUAUAAGAAGGAAGGGUCCUCGGCCGGAAUCUCCAUCAGGUUGCGUCCUUGGACCAGAAGCUCCAUCAAAUCCCGUCGAAAUUGCAAUUUUCCUCGAAACAUCCAAUGUCGCCGCCGAGUUCGCUGGAGGAAGAAACGCCGAGUUCGCCGGAGGAAUAAGAACGUCCGUCCAACCGUCCAAUGUCGCUGCCGGUGGCUACACCAGAGGUAUAUAUCCCCUUGAUAUUCAUUGGAUGCAAUUCCCUGUUUUAGAUGUUGUUUCUGUCCCCUGCCAUUGACUACGCAACAAGGGAUGGAACCUGAGGCACAUCCGCUAUGGUGCUGAGAAGGAGGCAGCUGUGGCACCCGACAAAUGUUGGACUCAGCUUUGAUGCUCAAUUAGGGCGGCCACACACAUGACUCUGCCCAAGAUUCAACUGCAGGUGGCUCGGAUAAAAAGGAUUGCAACAUAGAACUGUUGAUAGGAUGGUUAGUUUUGGAAGGGGAAUGGUAGUAUGAGCAGAGAUUGAAAACAAGGCUGCAGUGCAAACACUCUUGCUCAACCAAUUUAAGCUCAGCGUCAGCUGUUGAUUAAACAUUGGAUAUACUCCCCUAAAUGACAUCGUUGCACUACACUGGACCUGACGAGGAGGGGAUCCAGCUAGCUGUCUGAUGGCACUUCCACAUGUAUAAGCUUUGAGCUUAGGUUGUAUUUCUGAGGGGAGCAUACUUAUUAUUACCUUAAUUGGGUUUGACUUUUGGCUACUGUAUUGCUGUCACAACUUACCUGCGAAAUAGAAAGAGAGUCAUGUUUGAUAAGGAUAUGUACCGAGUAAUGAGUAUGUACAGAAGUGUUGGUUCUUGGUUCUUGCAUGGAGGUGAGCAAUUAUGGGUUGCAAACGUUGUUGCUGCCCAUCACCUGGUCCAAUUGAAGCACAACCAGUAGGCUGCCUUGAAUAAAGGAGUUCUCAAAGAUGAUGUCUUUUAGCACGACCAUUUUUAUUGAUUUAGUUUCUGUACAAUUUUGGGGCAUCCAAACUUGGAAAGUUUCAUCCUUCAAGUUAAAUUGGGACAAUCCGUUCAUUAAUUUCAGCAAAAAAAUAUUGGUAUUGUUCUUCCCAUUUUUAUUCACAUCCGUAGAAAUAUAGGUUUAAUGAUGACUCUGCAAUUUUCCUAUUAGUAUGCAUGAUUUUUCUUUUUGAUUGCUCACCCUCGUACUUUUUGCAGUAAGAUCAUAAAUGACAAUUAUAACGGUGGCGAUUUUUACCAUCAAUUCCUUAUUUUUCACUUCUCUCACACUCAUGAUAGGUUGAUAUAUAUUUCUAGUUAUCUUUACAUCUUCAGUAUGUUGAUGUAGCUCCAAUCUCAUGAUACAAUCAAUUCAUUUUCUGCAGCCCAUCUCAUGCAGGCAGAUGGGGCGAUACAUUCAUGAGCUUGCCACUAUGCUUAACUAGCUUGUUCAACUUCUCUUGUGAGAUCAAAUUACUUUGAUGUGAAUUUUCAUAGCUCUUUGUGCUCUUUCCUUCUUGCUGAACCAAUGUUUCCUCAUGAGGUGACCCUGAUUAUGUGGACCCUGAUUUGACUUGGAGUCUGCCUUAACUAACACCUCUGAUAUUUAGAUAGAGACAAGGGGACGGGUGAAUCCUGCGGAGGAGGACGAGGUCACAAGGAGGCGUACGCCAAGGCCGAUCCCAUCAGGAACUACAUCUACCGCCGUCGCCUCUCCUGUGAGCGUCUGGGAGCCCCUCCUCGGCUCCUCCCACAAACACAUAGCGGCGUCUUAAGCACGUCCGCCGCUCGUUGCCGCCGGCUGGUCGUCGUCUCCCUCACCGGCAUCCCAACGAAUCCAUCGGCAGUAGCCUUCCUCUCUUCGAUCUUGACGUCCGUUUCGUUCGUCGUUAUCCAGCCCCCUGCUCCCUGAGACGGCAAGGAGAUGGCGCUGCCGAGAUUAGGUCAAGCGCGACAAAGCAUACCAGACCCGAUCCAGCACCAUCCUCCCUGCUGUGGCAAGGAGACGGGCGCUUCACAGGCGAGGUCGGGCCCGAUGAAGUAGGCUGGAUCGAUCUCAUGCACGUACCAGUCGGGCCCGACUACUACUAAACCCCAUCCAUGGAUGCAAGGUCUCCGUGCUCAUCGUCGACGGCUGCACCCUGGCCAAGUCGCUCAUCAUUCGCGAGUACAUCCAUACCGCUUGACGGUGCAGCUGACAUGUACGAGGGUGCCGACGCUUGACGGAGACGAGAGCACAGAAGAGGUUGCCGCCAUCAAACCCCGUCAGAGCAUGCCACGCCGACCCACGGAAGCAGGCCGCCAUCGUUGAACCUGGCCAGCCACGAUAGUGCAUGAAUAAGGGCGCCGCAAUCGAACCGGCAUGCUGCGUGCGUGAAGCCAUGGAGUACCAAGGUGCAGGCCAGCGUGCAUUGUGUUCACCCCGGGGGUAAAGCUCGGUGAUGGAAGCUGCCAUGCUACAAGAUGCAUGUUGCACAUCCGCGUGGCGAUCAUGCACGCAUAUGCUCUCAUAGCCAGGUGCGGUCGCAUGAGCUCCUGGGCGGCGUAGAUAUACAGCGAGCAUGCAUGUAGUACGCACAAAGCAUCAGCAUGACUGACAGUUCUUUUGUCGGAAGAGCCUGACAAAUAGUUGUAGCUCCUCAACUGAUCUAUGUCUAAAGUUUCAAAGCAAGGAUCAAUAUGCAAGUAAAAAAUAAAAAAUCAAGGAUCAAUAUGGCAGCUAUAUUUACACUGCUAAAAUUUCAAUUUACUCUGACCGAUGUUGCGUGUUUGUCCAGCUGUUUUGUAGCUAGAUACAGACAGACAGGUCUCAUGCUUAGGCAUUUGACACGAACGAUGGAAAUUUAACGCAGAAACUCAAUGAGACCAUGACUAACUACCGUUACAUGAAAUUACUGGCUACUGCAUUCUAUUGAUCAUGCAUGGCUACUGAAUUCUUAAAUUUAUUUAUGUUACUAUCAGCUAGCUCAAGUAUGUAUGACUGUAGGAGCUCAGGAAUACUCUUACUAUGUCUUUGAUUUUGUUAAAGACCCAAUAUAUGAUGAGGUGCUGCCUCUCCUGAUGCCGAGCUAUUUAAAAUUUGGUAUUUCA